rnacentral:snRNA from 1 species
AUACUUACCUGGACGACACUAAUGAGUGAUCAAGAAGGCUCAUGGUGUAGGGCAGUGAUUUUCAUUGCACUUGGGAGGGUGUCGCUCUAAGGUCUUUCCAAGUAAUAGAGCCUAUGUCAUAAUUUGUGGUAGAGGGGGUUUGUGUUCGCACAAUCCUAUA